rnacentral:rRNA from 1 species
AAUAGAUACCCUGGUAGUCCACCCCGUAAACGUUGGGAACUAGUUGUGGGGACCAUUCCACGGUUUCCGUGACGCAGCUAACGCAUUAAGUUCCCCGCCUGGGGAGUACGGCCGCAAGGCUAAAACUCAAAGGAAUUGACGGGGACCCGCACAAGCGGCGGAGCAUGCGGAUUAAUUCGAUGCAACGCGAAGAACCUUACCAAGGCUUGACAUAUACGAGAACGGGCCAGAAAUGGUCAACUCUUUGGACACUCGUAAACAGGUGGUGCAUGGUUGUCGUCAGCUCGUGUCGUGAGAUGUUGGGUUAAGUCCCGCAACGAGCGCAACCCUCGUUCUAUGUUGCCAGCACGUAAUGGCGGGAACUCAUGGGAUACUGCCGGGGUCAACUCGGAGGAAGGUGGGGAUGACGUCAAAUCAUCAUGCCCCUUAUGUCUUGGGCUUCACGCAUGCUACAAUGGCCGGUACAAAGGGCUGCAAUACCGUAAGGUGGAGCGAAUCCCAAAAAGCCGGUCCCAGUUCGGAUUGAGGUCUGCAACUCGACCUCA